UGCAUGCCAUUCAAGGAGCUUGGAUUGUUGGAGCGUUUCUAGGUGUUUUCUAUCUUUAUGUCAAUGUUUAGAUUCAUUUAUCUUUGUUUAUUUGCGAACAUGAGGAACUAAUUUCUUUAUAGUUAGAGGGGAAUUCAAAGCCAUGUUCAUAUGUUUUAUAUGAUUUGAUUUCCUCCAGUUAUGAUUUCAUAAAUCGUGAAUGUGGUUUACUUAUCUAUUUGAUUGAUAACAUGUUUAUGUAUGUUGAAUUGAAGGGUCGACACUUAGUUCGCAUGCAUGAAUUUGAUGCUAGAGUAUAAGGGAAUUUCACCUAAUCGUUAUUAACUUAUAUUCGUAAGUAGUAAAAGUCGCUAGUCACGAUUGUGUUAAGUAAAUCCUUGGCAAGAGUAACAUGCGUAUUCCAUAGUUAUGAAUGCCUCGUCAAUGCUUAUGAUUUCCAUUGAACUUAAUGAUCUUUGAUAUGUGUCUCUAUCAUGCGUAUUCCAUAGUUAGGGUCCUUGAUAAGAAUAAUUUGGUUGUAAUGCGUAUUCCAUUCAAUUCAAUGAAUCUAGGGAAAUCUGAGAAUUAAUUGGUGCAAUCUAGUUAAUUUGGGGCAUUGUCAUUCAUGGUUUGUUGAAAGAGUAACUGGAAAUCGAGUCGUAUGCAUAUGUUUCAUGUGUGGAGAAGGAACCCUCUAACUAGCCUUUCACCAUUCUGUUUUCAUCCAAUUUCGUGAGUCUUUAAGUUUGUUUACAAAGUUUAUGUUUUAAAAGUUCAAAUUUUCGUCAAAACCAAACCCCUUGCUUUUAAGUCUUGUUUUUAGAGUCAAAACCUGUUUUCUUUUGAAGUCUUUUGAGUCUUUUAAGUUCUAUUUUCGUCCAAAAUCACUUAUUAGGUCUAGAAUUGAGUCUUUUUUUAUUGUUAUUUGCUGUUUUGAGUGUUUUGAGUUAGUUUUGAGUCUAUAGAGUCUAGUUUAGUGUUUUUGAGUCUUAUUUGUGUUGAUUAGCAUCCCUAGUUAAUCCCCGGUCUAGAACGAUCCCUACUUGCAUCAUUACUACAAUUGUCAUCAAUAGGGUUUAAUUUGUGUGUCAAGUUAAUUUACACAUCAUAUGGGAGGUGGUCUCUCUGGCCAAGGGGUGUAAACAUGUAUAUAUAGGCCCCAAAAACCCUAGAGAAUCAGGUUAGGCAAUGGAGGAAGUGCACAGCAAGGAGGGUGAAUUUGUGGUGUGCAAUGGUCCAAGGAUGAAAAUGAAGUAAUGAUGCAAAGUAUGGAGGGUAAAAUGGAGUGGUGUUGCAGCUAGGGAGCAUGAAUGAUUGUGCACAUUGCAUAGAAAUGAAAAGGGAGGUGAAAUGUUUCAGAAAUGAGUCAAAGGUGCAGCAACAUGUGUUGCACACGGCAUGGGAUUCCAAAGGUGGCUGAUGGAGCAUCAAUUGGUGCAUGUAAUGGUUGUGAAAGUUGUAUGAAAUUUGAUGGGUGAAGGGAACAAGAGGUAUGCAGCAAUUGAGUGUAAUAAUUAAAUGUAUUGAGGCAUGAAAUCAGAAAUAAUGUAGGGGACAAGGGUGAUUAAGCAUGGCAUGGGAAUCCAAAAGGAAUACAAUGGUGAUUGCACGGCAAGGAAGGUGCAUUGUGGAGUGACACCCUUUUGUGGCUGAGUUCUUUAUCCUUUGUACAAUAAUUCUUCACAUUCUUAGCCUCUUUAGUCUUCAAUUUCGUCCAUCCACCUUGCUCUAUGCAUUUGCUAUCCAUUCCAAACCCGAAACUGCUCCAAAGACCUUCAAAAUGCAUCUUCUUGCAUACUUUGUCCUUAGAAUCUGAAAACACACAAAAAUGACUUUUGAUAGGAGCAUAUUUAUGCGCCUUAGUUAGCUAGUUCUUAUGCAUUUAUGUUGUGUUUUCUUAGUUAAGUUAGUCUUUUAAGCUAUUUUCAUGUGUUUUCAGGUUUUAAGGACAAAGCAAAAAGAUGCAAUUUGGAGCAUUUUGGAGCAAAAUUGAGCUAGAAUGGAGCUCAUGCAUGUGGAGCACAAAGAAUGGACGAAUUUGAAGGAUUGAAGAAGCUAGGAAUGUGUUUCAAAGUUGAAGAAUUGAAGAUGCAAAGUUUCCUAAUUGAAGUAGGAAAGUGCUUAAUUGAAGAUGAAAUCCUAGUCAACAAUGGAUUCCUAGUUGAAGAUGGAUUCCUAGUUGAAGAAGGAUUCCUAGUUGAAGUUGGAUUUCUAGAAGAAUGAAAGUUUCCUACUUGAAGAUGGAAGUUAAAGCCAAAGAAUCAGCUCAAAAGAAGAAACCUUAUCCAAAACAUUAUCCAUGACCUUAUCCUAUCUUAUCCUAAUCCUAAUCUACCUAUAUUUCAGCUACAAAAGGGAUUUUUUUUCCUAUUUGGAGACUUAAAACCUGAUUUCUAGAAGCCUUAUCCCUUCCUACAAAGGUGCCACACCUUAUCCCUUGUUUUUCUAGAAAUCAGCCACAAAACAACCUUUCUAGAAGGCCUUAUCCCUUGUCCUACAAAAGUGACGCCCCAAACCUUUCUAGAACUUCUAGAAACCUGAUUAUUCCUUUCCCUCUUGGUUUCUAAAAGCCUUAGCCUUUUCCUUCAAGGAUUGUGUGUUAUUAUCCUAUACAAAUUAGGCCUUUAAAUCAUUUUCCUUUGCUACAUAGGGGCUGCGAAUUUCAGCCUAUAAAUACCAUCCUUUGCUGCACCAUUUAGUCACCACCCUUUACCAUAAAUCACCUACAUCCAUCCACCACACCAUCCACCACAAUCCUCUUGUGCCGCAGCUAAGGAAGGAGAAGAAGGAGCCAUCUGGAGUGUUUCUAGGUGUAUUCUAUCUUUGUUUUUAAUGUUUAAUUUAAGUUAUCUUUGUUUAUUUGCGAACAUGAGGAACUAAUUUCUUUAUAGUUGGAGGUGAAUUCAAAGCCAUGAUUAUAUGUUUUAUAUGAAUUGAUUACAUCCAAUUAUUGUUUCUUGAGUCGUGAAUGUGGUUUACUUAUCUAUUUGAUUGAUAACAUGUUUAUGUAUGUUGAUUGAGGGU
rnacentral:lncRNA from 1 species